rnacentral:tRNA from 1 species
GCACAGUGGCUGAGUGGCAAAGUACUUGGUUUCCGAACAGGGGUCCUGGGUUCAAAUCCUAAGACUGGGUU